AACAUUCGUCUGUCAUCUACUCCAUCACUGAGCCUUAUCCCCAGCCCAAGGGUAUACUGAUGACAUGAGCAGCAUUUAUGACAGAAUAACUACACUAACAAUUUAAUCAUGUUCUCUACUAAUAAAGAUAGAAGGCAUUACUCCAGCUAUUUGUCAUGAGGAGAGUAACACAAUCCCUUGUGACCAAGCCCAUAUCAUCCAAGAUUUUAUAGGCUGAGACCAACACCUUGGUUGCUAACUGGAAGAUGUAACAAAAUAAUGUACUGAGAAGCAGGGAGGAAAAAUCAAUCCAAGGUAAGAAGCAAGCAUGAAACACUGUAGCCCAAGUGGAUAAAAUGAGAUAUAAGCA
rnacentral:lncRNA from 1 species